rnacentral:rRNA from 1 species
GUGAGGUAACGGCUCAGUAGGCUACGACCGGUAACCGAUGUGUAAGGGUGAACGGUCAGAGUGACACUGGAACCCGGGUCAAACUCCAACGGGAGGCAGCAGUGAGGAAUCUUGGACAAUGGGGGCAACCCUGAUCCAGCGACGCCGCGUGAGGGAUGAAGGUCUUCGGAUUGUAAACCUCUUUUGUUUGAGACUAAGAAACCUGUAGAAAUAUAGGGAGUGAAUGUAUCAGAUGAAUAAGCCACGGCUAACUUCGUGCCAGCAGCCGCGGUAAUACGAAGGUGGCAAGCGUUACUCGGAAUUACUAGGCGUAAAGGGCAGGUAGGUGGUUUGAUAAGUCCGUUGUGUCAGCUCCUGGCUUAACUGGGAGAGGUCAAUGGAAACUAUCAUACUUGAGUAUAGGAGAGGGUACUGGAAUUCCCGGUGUA